UACGUAGGGUGCGAGCGUUGUCCGGAAUUAUUGGGCGUAAAGGGCUCGUAGGCGGUUUGUCGCGUCGGGAGUGAAAUCCACUGGCUUAACUGGUGGCUUGCUUUCGAUACGGGCAGACUAGAGUUCGGUAGGGGAGACUGGAAUUCCUGGUGUAGCGGUGAAAUGCGCAGAUAUCAGGAGGAACACCGGUGGCGAAGGCGGGUCUCUGGGCCGAAACUGACGCUGAGGAGCGAAAGCGUGGGGGAGCAAACAGG
rnacentral:rRNA from 1 species